GGGAGGGAGCAGGUGCCGCUGGAGUGCGCUCACGGGGGAGUGGGGACAGUCGCUCCUUGGGGACAAGGGGGAGGCUGCAAUGGCGUCUACAACUGCUGUGCUGGAGGCGAGCAGUGGACAGCUCCGCUGGGGAUGUGGCCAUCACCCUGACCUGGCCAUCCAGAGGCCAGAUUCAGACGAAGAUGCAGCAAAGCCACGAAGAGGGAAGGAGCAGAGGCCAAGUGAUGUGGGCGAGGAGCCCUGACGGCGUGGCCUCACGGCAGGUCUCCUGUCACCUCCACACGCCAGGUCUCCAUGCUUACCUCCAGACUCCAGGUGUCCUGUCACCUCCACACAUGGGUCUCCUGUCACCUCCACACUCCAGGUCUCCUGUUACCUCCACAAGUGGGUCUCCUGUGACCUCCACACGUGGGUCUCCUGUCACCUCCACACGUGGGUCUCCUGUCACCUCCACACGCCAAGUCUCCACGCCUACCUCCAGACUCCAGGUCUCCUGUCACCUCCUCACACCAGGUCUCCUGUCACCUCUACACCAGGUCUCCUGUCACCUCCUCUACACCAGGUCUCCUGUCACCUCCUCUACACCAGGUCUCCUGUCACCUCUACACCAGGUCUCCUGUCACCUCCACACACCAGGUCUCAGUCACCUCCACACUCCAGGUCUCCUGUCACCUCCUCACACCAGGUCUCCUGUCACCUCCAUACAUGGGUUUCCUGUCACCUCCACACAUGGGUCUCCUGUCACCUCCUCACCAGGUCUCAGUCACCUCCACAUGCCAUGUCUCCUGUCACCUCCACACAUGGGUCUCCUGUCACCUCCACACACCAGGUCUCAGUCACCUCCACACUCCAGGUCUCCUGUCACCUCCUCACACCAGGUCUCCUGUCACCUCCAUACAUGGGUUUCCCGUCACCUCCACACGCCAGGUCUCAGUCACCUUCCCACUCCAGGUCUCCUGUCACCUCCACACUCCAGGUCUCCUGUCACCUCCACACGCCAGGUCUCCCGUCACCUCCACACACCAGGUCUCCUGUCACCUCCACACGCCAGGUCUCAGUCACCUCCACACUCCAGGUCUCCUGUCACCUCCAGACUCCAGGUCUCCUGUCACCUCCACACUCCAGGUCUCCGUGCUCACCUCCUGACGCCAGUCAGCUUCUGCCCUGAGUGCUGCGAGCAGAAACUCCUGGGCUGAAAGGAACUGUACCUGCCCCAGGCGAGGUCCACUCUGAGCAG
rnacentral:lncRNA from 1 species